CUUCAAUCUUCAGAAAAGGCGAUGAAGUUAUACAAACAAUACUGCCAUUCUAACCCCUAACUACAUAUAAGGGACAUUGGUGGACUUCUUUGACCGAAAAAAGCUUUGGAUUUGACCAGCGUGAAGCAAAAUUAGCAGGCCCAGCUUG